rfam:Picea glauca, whole genome shotgun sequence.
AUGUACAUUCCUACAACAUAGUGUUAAUGCACCGGAUCCCAUUAGAAAUCUGCAAUUAAGCGCGCUCAGGCUAGAGUAGUACUAGGAUGGGUGAUUGCAUGGGAAGUCCUAUUGUUUUACAUA